AUACGGAGGGCGCAAGCGUUGCCCGGAAUCACUGGGUGUAAAGGGUGCGUAGGCGGGGCUGUAAGUCAGAGGUGAAAGCCCUCGGCUCAACCGGGGAAUUGCCUCUGAUACUGCAGCUCUUGAGUCCCGGAGAGGCCGCUGGAAUUCCUGGUGUAGCGGUGAAAUGCGUAGAUAUCAGGAGGAACACCGGAGGCGAAGGCGGGCGGCUGGACGGGGCCUGACGCUGAGGCACGAAAGCGUGGGGAGCAAACAGGAUUAGAAACCCUAGUAGUCC
rnacentral:rRNA from 1 species